GUGUUGUAUGAAAGGAGGGAAGGUGAGUACUGCCCUUGAAGGGUCAAAGAGGUUCUCAGGCCUAACAGCACACACACAGUUAAAGCAUUGCCACCUACUUCAUCACAUCUAACCAUUGUUUUGU